UAAUGAACUUCUAAACGACAUAACCAAUCCAUCGUAAUCACUAGUUGCACAAUUUUUGAUGGCGUGUGAAGAAGGAAACUCCUUUAUCAAUGUUUUAAGGUAAUCUUGGCCUUUUGUUGCCUUCUCUAUUGCCAUCUCUAAGAAUAACUUGCUAAGGGUAAGAUAGUCUUUUGCCGAAGUUAUUUUAGGGUUAGGGCUUAGAAGUUUCAAGCAACGUUGGUUGUCUUUUCCAGCAUCUUUGCAUACAUUUAUGUACAAAUUGGAGUUUGAUUUUGGUGUAAUGGCGUGAGAAUUAAAGAUCAAGGAAAUUGUAAGGAAUAGGGAUAAACAUGUUGAGGGAUUCAUAUUGUUAUGAAGUGACUGAAUGAAGAUACUUUAGGGUUCUUAAUUUAUAUAUGGUACAAUGUCUUUUGUUAAUUAAUAUCAUUUAGGAGUUUGUUUAAAGGUUUUAAAACCAUUGAAUACUUUUGCGUUAAAUAUAAAUUUCUAUGCAACCGUUACUUCUUUACAUUUACUACCUGGAUUUUUUAAAACUUUAUUUAAAGUUUUUUUAGGAUUUAGUGGGAAUGCUGUAACGGGACAUUAAAGGAUGUAUAUUUAAACUUUUGAUUUGUCCUACACUAAAGUAUAAAUAAAACGGAUAUAUUUUAGACCGGAUCCAUUUUGCCACAUCAACUUAAUAUAUGUUAAAGUUUAUUUUAACAUUCUUUAUGCAAAACAAAUUAAAUAUAUUAAUAGAAAAAAAAGAGUAUAUGAAAAAAAAAACACCACUUGUGUUUUUAAACAACAAAAAUCGCCUAAACAAGUUGGGGAAAAAACAAGACCCACUAUUUCUUUUUUGAUCUAAUUAAUGAUUAACUUUUAUGCAUGCAAUAUUUAGUUUGUAAUAAAACAAAUUAGAUAUUUUAUUAAACCAAUUCAGUUAAUAAUUAUAUAGAUAUCAUAUAUAUGAACAUCAAUUUGAAUCUGCAUUAAAAAAUUAUAGAAUAAUUAAUAAAUAAUCACCACCCUUGAUUUAAAAUAGUAAUUAUGAAAAUUUUAAUAAAUUAUAAAUAUAUAUAUUAAUAUAAAUAUUUAUAGUAGAAAAUCUUGUCACUCUUUAUUAAAAUUUCUAACUCAAGCUCUAUUCAAAUAAUAUAAGUUGAUUUACACACACAUCUUAUAUAAAAAUCAUUUUGGUAAUUACAUUCUAAAGUAAUUUAAAUUUAAAUUAUUCAAGUGUUAUAAAUUUAUUAAAACAAUUAUUUUAAAUAUAAAUAAUUGGUUUUUUUCUAGGAUAAUGUUUCUACGUGAUUUUCAUGUUUGUCUGAUUUGAAGGUGCUUCUGAUCCCCAUCCUUCUAGGUUGUUGUUGUCUUUGACGGAAAGCUACUAAAGUUUUUAGAUUAACAAAAAACUGAAGUUAUACUUAUUUAUUGAGUGAUGAGGUAGAAGUGACAAAGUUAAUGGCUUUAAAAAUGAGAGAUUGACAACAAAAGUAUGCUAGGUCAAUGUGAAUUGACCAAUAUUCUCCGCGGCAGGAUUGACCAAUAUUAAAGUAUAAUUCAAAGAUUUUUCAAAAGUAUGAGUAUUUUGAUCAUGCUUUGAAUCUUCACUACUAUAAAUAUAUUUAUUUUAUUUCGAGCACGGAGAGAGAGUAUUUUAUCUCGGUUGAAAAUAUGAAAUAACAAAAAGCAAUAUGAAAAAUCUGUUUCUUUACAACAACAUUUUUAUAUUUUCAAAACUAUGUAGUGCACUCCAUAUACCUCUGAAUUUUGUUAAUAAUCGAGGGAAAAAUGAUAGUAUUUAUGUUGGUUUUUGUUAAUGAUUGAGGUGUAUAACAUAUUUUUUUGGAUUUAUGAUUUGUUUUAAAUCUCAUUUUGACUGAUUUGUAUCAUAUUUUUACAUAGAACCUAUAAAUUAUGUGACAGAAUUAUAUCAUUUGUAUUUUAUAUAGAACAUAACACAAAAUACCAAAGUUACACUAUUUACAAAAUCAAAUAUACAAUGCUUACAAUACUUAUGAUGACAUUUGAGAUCCACAAAACCUUUACCAAGUGAACCUAUACAUAUUUGCACCUAUAAUGACAAAACCUCUAUACAAUUCUUACAACAACCAAGAAAAACUAGUAUUUAUGAGAUUCAUGAUAAGAUAUGAAGGCACUGAUUCAACCUGAUCGGAUGUCAUCUACACCUUCUUGUGUGGAUGGUGUUUCAGCGCUAAAGCCUUAUAAUUUCAACAAAAUUUAAAUUAUGAUAAGCUAACCACAACAAUAUUAACUUAACAAAUAUGCAUAAAUUACAUGUAUAUAUAGAUAAGUUUAAUACCUUAAGUCUCUGGAGAUGAUACUAAACAUCUGUCUUAUAACAUAAUAUCCACAUUCAAAGUUGUUUGGUUGUUUUCGGAACCACUAAUAAUUUUCAUAUAGUUAAUAAUUAUUACACAGAAAGCACAAAUAUACAUUAGCGAAAAUAAAAGAAUGUCAAAAAGUACAAGUAAUACUUCCAUGUAGUUCUAUGAACUUUGGUUUUUUACCAUCUAAAUUAUAUAUCACAAAAUUGUAUCCCUCCAUAUCUCUACAUGAUGGUACAAUUUAAACAUGAAUAAAAAUUAUUCAAAAUUAAAGAUAAAAUUUGAGUAUUACAAAUAAUAUCAUUUAUCCGCUCAAAACCUUUUGCAUAUCUUCGUUAAAUUUAUAAUAUAGCGAGCAUAACAUAACUACAACAAUUUGCUUCGGUCAAAGACCCCUUUUGAUAAUAUCUAAUAAUAAAGGACUCUGUUUGGCAAUGCUUUAGUAAAUUAAUUAAUAACCAUUGUGAUUUUGUGAUACUAUUGUGUCUUCGCACAAAAAAAAAUGGUUUAAUGAUAUUAAGGGUUAGAAUCAAACAUGUCCGUUUUGUUUAGACUUGCUCUACAAAAGUCAUAAAAAAAAUAAGAUGGAAUGGAGCAGAAAUAGUUGAAGGUGCAAACUUAAAACCUUGGCUCAUUUUGAAAAAGAAAAUUAAGGGAGGGUUCGUGGGCUCGACACCUUUUAAGUUAAAAAAUAUAUAUGUUAAUUUCCACUCUUGCAGAAGCAAAAAAAAAUGGUAUAGGACAAACACAUUAAAGGAUGCAUGUUUAAACCUUUGAUUUGUCCCGCACUAAAUGAUAAGUAAAACUGAUAUGUCCGGCCGGAUCCGUUUUGCCGUUAAAGCUUAGUUUAACAUUUUUUAUGCAAAAAAGAUUAAAUAUAUUAAGAGAACAAGAAGAGUACAUGAAACAUAAAAAAACACCACUUGUUCUUUUAAACAACAAAAAUCGGCUAAACAAGUUGCGGGAAAAAACAAGACCUGUUAUUUCUUUUUUUAUCUAAUUAAUGACUAAUUUUUAUGUAUGCAAUAUUUAAUUUGUAAUAAAUUUUUUUAUAUAUUUUAUUAAGUCAGCUCAGUUAAUAACUGUAUAGAGAUAUCAUAUUGUCAUACCCCAAUUUUGUCCGGGUCAUUGUAAAUUUUCAUAAAUUCGAUUUUAAUUUCAAUUUGCAUCAGUUGUAUAGCAUAACAUGCAUUUCAUCAUGAAUAAUACCUAAAAUAUCAGUCGGAAUAAACUUUCGAAAUACAGACGAAUGAGUUAAAUCAUUCCUCAAGUACGUCCAAAAUCAGCAAGUAAAAAGUUUUGAAAUCAAGCUUGCAGACGCCAAUAUUAUUAAUAUAUGAUUUACAUAGUUUAACCUGGUGUGCUCGUUAUAUUUUCGAAGACUUUUUCAGUCGCAUUUUGACUCGCCUGCGCCUUUUAACCGAUCCAAGUUUAUUUCAAAAUUAAAAAGAAACGCUGUAUUUUUCCAAUAAGUAUAUUUCGUACUGGUCAUUUUAAUGCAUUCAAUUUAAUUUUUCGAGCAUAUUCUCACCCGACUUUUCCUCAUAUUCAGUCAUUUUAUUUCUAUUUGUUUGUCAAAAUAAUCGGGAUCAUUAAUUAGAAUUUUCCAUGUUCUUAUUUUAUUUUUAUCAUAUUCAUUUUAGAAGUUGGGAAUUUUAUGUGAUUUAAUUGGUUUAAAUUGUUUAAAUUAAUUAAAUCAUCUAGAAGAGGGUAACAUUGUCAUUUUGAAUUGUUUGUGCUUCUUUGAUUUAAUCUUAAUCAUUGAUUCAAAUUAAUCAAUGGUCCUCAUUAGCAAUCCUUGACCAUUCCAAUUCAUCCAAUCAAAAUAAAAAAAAAAUCAAAUAAUAAGCAAUCAAGAAAAUAAGAAAAAUAAAAGAAUAUCUUCUCAUUUCCAAUGAGAAGUUGCCACGCGCCCACCAAUGAGGACCACUCCCAACGGACAAAAAGAAUAGACUCUCUCUCUCAUUAGCUGGCGAGGAAUGGUGGAUAAGAAGAUGAAAUAAUAUAUUUUCAUUUCCAAUAACACAUGGCCAGAUGUCCCAUUCUCCAAGAGAGCACGUAUUCUCACACUCUCUCUAAUUCUCAACGGAAAAAUAAAAAGAAAGGAAAUAAAAAGUUAUAUAUUAUCUAGAAUUUAAUUUUAUAAAUAUUUUUUAGAAUUUGAUGGAUCAUCGAUAUGAGAUAGCAGUCCAUUUAAAGAUUAAUUAUAUAAUGAUUCUAUGACAUCUAUCAAUAUUUUAUUUACACUUUAAUAUAUUUCAGAAUAUUUGAAAUAUUAAAUAUUUUGUGUUUGAUUAUCUAUUUACUACUUUAAGUAUAAAAAGAUAAAGUAGUUUUAAAACCGCUCUCUUCCCCUUGUGAAUCAAACAUAUUUUUGAUUAAAAUUUCUCCCUCAUCUUUCCUCUCUCUCUUUUGAACAAAACAAACAUUUAAUUAAAUACAUCAUCUCCCCUCCUCUCCCCUCCCCUUUGUUAAAAGCUCUCCCCUCCCAUCCGUUGAACCAAAUGAAUGUUAAGGCUUUGUUUGAAGGUUUGGAGGGGAGAGCUUUGUAAUUUUUUUAUUUAAAAAUAUAGAGAAAUCUUUAACUUUUUUUGAGAAUAAAAUUUUGUUUAGAAUGAUAAAAGAGUGUUUAUUAUUAACAUAUUUUUAUUUUUUUUAGUAUUAUAACAACAUAAAUAACAUUUGAACAAUUUAUGAAAACCCUCCAAACCCCUCCUCCUAUACAAUUUUUUCAGCUCCCCCAAAUUAGCGAAUUUUGAUUUUUAAAUAAAAAUAAAUCCUCCAAAAUCCUCUCCACGUAAAUCAUUCUAUUCUUUUUAUCAAAUCCUUUCCUUUUUUCAAAGUCCUCCUCACUAUUCCCCUCCAAACUCUCAAACAAAGCCUAAGGGUAUGUAAGGAUUGGUGGUAUGUGAUGAAAUAGAAUGCAGUGAUAGAUUUCAUUGUUUGAAUUUGUUAAUAAUGGAUGAAGUAAAAUGGAAUAUGAUGUGAUCCAUUUCAUCCAAUUCUUCAUUUUUUGUUCCAUCUGAUUUGGAAUGUAUACAAUAGAAUGAAACAUUUUGAAUAAAGUAAGCAAACAAUAGCGUGGAAUUGAUAUUCCAUUCCACAACAUUCUGGUUUGUUAUGUUCCAUCGGUCCAAGUAUAGCCUAAGAUAAAAAGGCAUAAUUAAUGAUAGUUAUUAGGCCACGUGUCGUAUCCAUCCAAUAAGACGUUGCAAGUAACAAGGAAGACAUUAAUGUGCAUGUUCUCAAUGAUAUCACGGUCCAAGUAUAGCCUAAGAUAAAAAGGCAUAAUUAAUGAUAGUUAUUAGGCCACGUGUCGUAUCCAUCCAAUAAGACGUUGCAAGUAACAAGGAAGACAUUAAUGUGCAUGUUCUCAAUGAUAUCGAUCUCACAACUCUAAUUGUCCUCUCUGUAUAAAGUCAUUUGCAUGCCUCAAGACUGAGUAUCUGUAUCCCACGUCACCCGAUCAUGAACUAUUUAAGUUCUUCAACGGAACAUAAAAAAAAUGUUUUUCAUAACGUCUUUUAACAUUUUACAAUAUCAUCUCAAAAAAAAUUUAAAACUUUAAAGAUUAUUUUUUCUUUUCAAAAUAACCUUUUUAAAAUUUCAAUUUACUAUACUCUAAAGUUAUGUAAAAUCAGGACAAGUCUACAUUGGUGCCGCCAGAGGCAUAAUAUUGUGCUAUCAAAUGUGCAACCAAACAAUUAAAAAUAAAAGAAGUGCAAAAUAUUCAUGCUUUUGUGUUUGAGUAAUUGUGCAAUAUUUCAUUGACAUCGACUAUAAUUCCAAACACAUUGAAAAAGAAUAAAUGUAAAGUAACAAUUUUCCUUUUAAGCAUUUUGAAUAAACACAAAAAUCAUUCUAAAUUCAACAAUAGCAAACAAAAUAUCUUAUUUUCGAAGAAACUAUAAUUCCAAACACAUUGAAAAAGAAUAAAUGUAAAGUAACAAUUUUCCUUUUAAGCAUUUUGAAUAAACACAAAAAUCAUUCUAAAUUCAACAAUAGCAAACAAAAUAUCUUAUUUUCGAAGAUAAUUUGUGGCCAGAUACGCAACAUCACUAAGAAACGUCAUCUCAUUAUUCAUCUUAGAAACAGAAGGAUUAACUAUUUUCUCAUUAGCCAAUUCACGAUCACAAGCUUGUGGUCCAUCACCAGCAACUCUAGCAUCAUAGUUUGCAGAAAUUGGAUCCACAACCAACUCACCUAAUGAACUUCUAAACGACAUAACCAAUCCAUCGUAAUCACUAGUUGCACAAUUUUUGAUGGCGUGUGAAGAAGGAAACUCCUUUAUCAAUGUUUUAAGGUAAUCUUGGCCUUUUGUUGCCUUCUCUAUUGCCAUCUCUAAGAAUAACUUGCUAAGGGUAAGAUAGUCUUUUGCCGAAGUUAUUUUAGGGUUAGGGCUUAGAAGUUUCAAGCAACGUUGGUUGUCUUUUCCAGCAUCUUUGCAUAAGCCUUCUCUAUUGCCAUCUCUAAGAAUAACUUGCUAAGGGUAAGAUAGUCUUUUGCCGAAGUUAUUUUAGGGUUAGGGCUUAGAAGUUUCAAGCAACGUUGGUUGUCUUUUCCAGCAUCUUUGCAUAUAUUUUUGUAUAAAU
rnacentral:lncRNA from 1 species